rnacentral:lncRNA from 1 species
AAUAACAAUUUUAAUCAUGUCUUUUAAAAACAGGAACAGAAAAAGCAUAUGAAUACAAGACUUGUUUAUUAUUCGAUGUGCACAUAGCCAAGAAAUCUGAAAAGAUGGGAAGUAACGGGGCCAUAGCAUGGAGUACACACGAGGCACUUAGAUGGCAUUCCUUGAUUGUUCAUCACCUUGGUCAUUAAAGGAAUUAAGCACAUUAAUUCCUUAAUUAAUUAAUAAUGAAAGAAAACAAUCGAGGAAAAGUUUGAGAUCAGUCUAUUCCUGGACUGGAAAUAGAUGACUAGAUGUACAUUAGAACUGAUGAUUCCAGGAACACUUAGAAUUGUGAAAAAUACAGAGUACCUGCUCUCAAAGAAGCAAGCAACUUAGGAUGGAAAAAAUGAAUGUACAUAAGUCAUAUGAAGGAAAGAAGGGAAUCAGUAGCCAGGGAAGUGUCCUUGGAGCUGAGUCUGAUAAUAGCUGUGCUACGAUUAAUUAUAUAAAAAAUAAUAAUUGCGAAGCACACUGCUUCACUACAUCCCUGCUUCACAGAAUUCACAUUCUACAGUGAUAAAAUAAUACACAAAAUGUGCCAUAUGUAUACAUGGUGAGCAUUCCAGGUGGAGAGAAUAGCAAAUGCCAAGGCCCUGGGGUUGGGAGCAGGCUUGGCGUGUUGGAAGGGUGGUGAGGGGACCCUGCAGCUGGAAAGGCAUCAGCAAGAGCUGGAGGAGAAGGGGAAGAGGUUGGAAAGAGGGAGCUGUCAGAACUAGAACUGGGACAGCUACAUAAGCCAUUUUAGAGGCUUCAGCUUUUACUUAGAUGACAGUGUCUUGCUCAGUCUCCCAGUCUGGAGUGCCAUGGUACAAAUAAAGCACACUGCAGCCUCAAACUCCUGGGUUCACACGAUCCUCCCACCUCAGCCUCCUGAGUAGCUAAGACUACAGGCAUGCACUACAACCAUGUCUGGCUAAUUUUUGUAGUUUUUUAGAGACAGGGUCUCACUAUAUUGCCCUAGCUUGUCUCAAACUGGCCUCAAGUGAUCCUCCCUCCUGGGACCCCUAAAAUAUUGGGAUUACAGGUAUGAGCCACUGUCCCCAGCCUCAGUACUUUUUAUAUGAAUAUCUAUGCUUAAACUGAGACACGUAUAUGCAUGUGCGUGUGUAUAUAUAUGCAUGUAUUGUGUAGUCAUUUGUAUUAAUAUGUGUGUAUGUGAUAUAUAUGUGUAUAUGUAUAUAUUAC